rnacentral:rRNA from 1 species
GGGUUGUGAGGUUAAGCGACUAAGCGUACACGGUGGAUGCCCUGGCAGUCAGAGGCGAUGAAGGACGUGCUAAUCUGCGAUAAGCGCCGGUAAGGUGAUAUGAACCGUUAUAACCGGCGAUUUCCGAAUGGGGAAACCCAGUGUGACUCGUCACACUAUCAUUAACUGAAUCCAUAGGUUAAUGAGGCGAACCGGGGGAACUGAAACAUCUAAGUACCCCGAGGAAAAGAAAUCAACCGAGAUUCCCCCAGUAGCGGCGAGCGAACGGGGAGGAGCCCAGAGCCUGAAUCAGCAUGUGUGUUAGUGGAAGCGUCUGGAAAGGCGCGCGAUACAGGGUGACAGCCCCGUACACAAAAGCGCAUGUGCUGUGAGCUCGAUGAGUAGGGCGGGACACGUGGUAUCCUGUCUGAAUAUGGGGGGACCAUCCUCCAAGGCUAAAUACUCCUGACUGACCGAUAGUGAACCAGUACCGUGAGGGAAAGGCGAAAAGAACCCCGGCGAGGGGAGUGAAAAAGAACCUGAAACCGUGUACGUACAAGCAGUGGGAGCNNGGGCGUUAAGUUGCAGGGUAUAGACCCGAAACCCGGUGAUCUAGCCAUGGGCAGGUUGAAGGUUGGGUAACACUAACUGGAGGACCGAACCGACUAAUGUUGAAAAAUUAGCGGAUGACCUGUGGCUGGGGGUGAAAGGCCAAUCAAACCGGGAGAUAGCUGGUUCUCCCCGAAAGCUAUUUAGGUAGCGCCUCGUGAAUUCAUCUCCGGGGGUAGAGCACUGUUUCGGCUAGGGGGCCAUCCCGGCUUACCAACCCGAUGCAAACUGCGAAUACCGGAGAAUGUUAUCACGGGAGACACACGGCGGGUGCUAACGUCCGUCGUGAAGAGGGAAACAACCCAGACCGCCAGCUAAGGUCCCAAAGUCAUGGUUAAGUGGGAAACGAUGUGGGAAGGCCCAGACAGCCAGGAUGUUGGCUUAGAAGCAGCCAUCAUUUAAAGAAAGCGUAAUAGCUCACUGGUCGAGUCGGCCUGCGCGGAAGAUGUAACGGGGCUAAACCAUGCACCGAAGCUGCGGCAGCGANNUGCUGGAGGUAUCAGAAGUGCGAAUGCUGACAUAAGUAACGAUAAAGCGGGUGAAAAGCCCGCUCGCCGGAAGACCAAGGGUUCCUGUCCAACGUUAAUCGGGGCAGGGUGAGUCGACCCCUAAGGCGAGGCCGAAAGGCGUAGUCGAUGGGAAACGGGUUAAUAUUCCCGUACUUGGUGUUACUGCGAAGGGGGGACGGAGAAGGCUAUGUUGGCCGGGCGACGGUUGUCCCGGUUUAAGCGUGUAGGUGUGUGUUCCAGGUAAAUCCGGUUCACUUUAACACUGAGGCGUGACGACGAGGCACUACGGUGCUGAAGCAACAAAUGCCCUGCUUCCAGGAAAAGCCUCUAAGCAUCAGGUAACAUCAAAUCGUACCCCAAACCGACACAGGUGGUCAGGUAGAGAAUACCAAGGCGCUUGAGAGAACUCGGGUGAAGGAACUAGGCAAAAUGGUGCCGUAACUUCGGGAGAAGGCACGCUGACAUGUAGGUGAAGUGAUUUACUCAUGGAGCUGAAGUCAGUCGAAGAUACCAGCUGGCUGCAACUGUUUAUUAAAAACACAGCACUGUGCAAACACGAAAGUGGACGUAUACGGUGUGACGCCUGCCCGGUGCCGGAAGGUUAAUUGAUGGGGUCAGCGCAAGCGAAGCUCCUGAUCGAAGCCCCGGUAAACGGCGGCCGUAACUAUAACGGUCCUAAGGUAGCGAAAUUCCUUGUCGGGUAAGUUCCGACCUGCACGAAUGGCGUAAUGAUGGCCAGGCUGUCUCCACCCGAGACUCAGUGAAAUUGAACUCGCUGUGAAGAUGCAGUGUACCCGCGGCAAGACGGAAAGACCCCGUGAACCUUUACUAUAGCUUGACACUGAACAUUGAGCCUUGAUGUGUAGGAUAGGUGGGAGGCUUUGAAGUGUGGACGCCAGUCUGCAUGGAGCCGACCUUGAAAUACCACCCUUUAAUGUUUGAUGUUCUAACGUGGACCCGUUAUCCGGGUUGCGGACAGUGUCUGGUGGGUAGUUUGACUGGGGCGGUCUCCUCCUAAAGAGUAACGGAGGAGCACGAAGGUUGGCUAAUCCUGGUCGGACAUCAGGAGGUUAGUGCAAUGGCAUAAGCCAGCUUGACUGCGAGCGUGACGGCGCGAGCAGGUGCGAAAGCAGGUCAUAGUGAUCCGGUGGUUCUGAAUGGAAGGGCCAUCGCUCAACGGAUAAAAGGUACUCCGGGGAUAACAGGCUGAUACCGCCCAAGAGUUCAUAUCGACGGCGGUGUUUGGCACCUCGAUGUCGGCUCAUCACAUCCUGGGGCUGAAGUAGGUCCCAAGGGUAUGGCUGUUCGCCAUUUAAAGUGGUACGCGAGCUGGGUUUAGAACGUCGUGAGACAGUUCGGUCCCUAUCUGCCGUGGGCGCUGGAGAACUGAGGGGGGCUGCUCCUAGUACGAGAGGACCGGAGUGGACGCAUCACUGGUGUUCGGGUUGUCAUGCCAAUGGCACUGCCCGGUAGCUAAAUGCGGAAGAGAUAAGUGCUGAAAGCAUCUAAGCACGAAACUUGCCCCGAGAUGAGUUCUCCCUGAGACUUAGAGUCUCCUGAAGGAACGUUGAAGACGACGACGUUGAUAGGCCGGGUGUGUAAGCGCAGCGAUGCGUUGAGCUAACCGGUACUAAUGAACCGUGAGGCUUAACCUUACAACGCCGAAG